rnacentral:rRNA from 1 species
UACGAAGGGGGCUAGCGUUGCUCGGAAUCACUGGGCGUAAAGGGUGCGUAGGCGGGUCUUAAGUCAGGGGUGAAAUCCUGGAGCUCAACUCCAGAACUGCCUUUGAUACUGAAGAUCUUGAGUUCGGGAGAGGUGAGUGGGAACUGCGAGUGUAGAGGUGAAAUUCGUAGAUAUUCGCAAGAACACCAGUGGCGAAGGCGGCUCACUGGCCCGGUACUGACGCUGAGGUGCGAAAGCGUGGGGAGCAAACAGGG